rnacentral:lncRNA from 1 species
UUUAGAACAGAAGUAGUUCACACAAAGAAGAUUUUUUAAAAAUGGAGGGAUAAAUUUUGAAAUUAAAGAAAUGGGGAGAAUAUGAAGAUACUACCCUAUGUAGAAAAAUUAAAAGUUUAGAGUUGAAAAGAUCUGACCAAUUGGGUAGCAAUCCAAUAGACAAGUAUGUCAAUAGAAACCCAGAAUUCCCUUGGACUUUUUAGAAUCAAAC